rnacentral:rRNA from 1 species
GACGAACGCUGGCGGCGUGCCUAAUACAUGCAAGUCGAACGAAACUUUCUUACGCCGAAUGCUUGCAUUCACCGUAAGAAGUUGAGUGGCGGACGGGUGAGUAACACGUGGGUAACCUGUCUAAAAGAAGGGGAUAACACUUGGAAACAGGUGCUAAUACCGUAUAUCUCUAAGGAUCGCAUGAUCCUUAGAUGAAAGAUGGUUCUGCUAUCGCUUUUAGAUGGACCCGCGGCGUAUUAACUAGUUGGUGGGGUAACGGCCUACCAAGGUGAUGAUACGUAGCCGAACUGAGAGGUUGAUCGGCCACAUUGGGACUGAGACACGGCCCAAACUCCUACGGGAGGCAGCAGUAGGGAAUCUUCCACAAUGGACGCAAGUCUGAUGGAGCAACGCCGCGUGAGUGAAGAAGGUCUUCGGAUCGUAAAACUCUGUUGUUAGAGAAGAACACGAGUGAGAGUAACUGUUCAUUCGAUGACGGUAUCUAACCAGCAAGUCACGGCUAACUACGUG